UACGGAUUUUUUUCGCGCAAGAAUAAUGCACGAGAGAACGCGAUACAAAAUCGGCGGGAUUUUAAUCCGCGCCGCGUGUACAAUUCCUUUAUUAUACCAAAAACGCCUCUCUAAAAAGAGCUUAUCUUCCUUCAUUAUCGCUAGAACUGAGAGACCGUACUACAAAUUCUAAUCUAUGGUACAUAUUUAUACAUUGAGCGCAUCGUCAGAGAGGCAUCGCAGUGACGCUCUCCACGAUAGGUGUAUGUGUGUGACAGUAUCGUUACAUAGAUGUGUCCUCGUUUACAUACGUAAACGCGUGCACAUGUUUGAGGAACUCUGAACUUCCUUCCUUCUUUAGCGCCAUCCGUUAUCAUACCGCGGAAGGACUCGUGUGUAUAUAUAUGAAAAUAACGCGAAACGAAGGAAAAACUCGAGCAUUUUGGACUUUGACCAUUCUCAAAGAGAAUAUGCGUACCCUUUCUAUAAUAUUAUAGAUAUUCUUUACAUUCCUCCUUUAUUCUUCCUUUAUCCUUUUAAAUACCCUCAUACAGGGACAAUUGUUUAACGACGAUAGAAUGUAUUUUUGUAAUCACACACAUAUACGUAGGAGAGAUUAUAUUAUAUAUAUAUAUAUAAUUUAUGUAUAAUUAAAUCCAAUAAUUCUUUAUUCAAUAUUUAUUAAUUAUUAUAUCUCUAUGUGUGGUAAAGGGGAUUAAUUGUUAUUUGGAAAUCCACAUUUUACAAAGUGUGCUUCUCUCUCUUUCUCUCUCUCAUACAUACAAUCUCUCUCAAUUUCUCUCUCUCUCUCUAUAUAUAUAUAUAGUAAAAAUGUCUAUUUCGUGAAAAAGGUGUCUGAAAACGCACAGGUACAACACAUGCAGUGUUCUUCGAAUAAUGAUACAUAAAUUUUAUUUCUUCAGAUUUUUUCACGUUGCGUUAAUGGUAAUGCAUUUAUGUAUAAAUAUAUACACAUAUAUGUAUAACCCUUACGUCACGGUACCUUCAUCUCUCUUACGUCAUAUUAUAAGUUACACGCUGCGAUUAGAGAGUGCGAGACGCGCGUGUUAUAAAUUCUUAUAAACUACAUGUGAAAAGCUAGGGAGAAAAGGCGAGGUUUACGCACGAUAAAAAAACGAUUUAGCGACACUACUCGCCGCGAACUUUAGUCCCGUUCUUCUCGCAUUGCCGCAAUCAAUGGAACUUUCGUACAUACGAGGCAGUGGAGAGCAUUUCGAGAAAAAAAUGCCCGCAAGGUGGGAAAGUUCGAGGAACCUUGACUAAACCAAAGCGUAAUUAAAGGAGCACGAUAGGAACUAAAGUGCGUGCGAGUACCGGAAGCUAUCGAGUCUACGGAAAUCGAGUGGAAAUUUGUAUAAUCUCUUCGUUACAAACAUCAUAUUGUCUCUAUCUUUUAUUUUAAUUAAAGUCGAUCGGGGAAGAUAAUAUAUCUGAAUAUGACAAAAUUUUUAACGAUAAUAGCCAUUUUUCCCAGUAAUUUUGCAAUAUUUUUAUUAAUUAUAUGUUUUUUUUUAUAAUUUCCUAACAAUAUAUCCCGAGAAAGAAAAUAUGAACAUAUUCCAUAUAUAAUCAUACAUGAUUUAUAUAUGCACAUGGAUUUUUUUCCCCAGGAACACACUAUUAAAAACAUCGUCACAUUUACCAUGAUUUUCUUUCAAAUAUGAAUUUACCGCGAGAGAAAUAAAAUAUUUUACCGAGGCUAUAGGUAUGGCAGGAGUUAUAAUCUCGACAAUGGUGUGGCAAUAUAAAUCAGACCGCGUUUGUUUGUUAUUGGUGUACAGAGUAGAAAAACUUUAGUUGAACGCAAAUACAGAGAAAAAAUUGCACAAAAUUGUAUUGGGUAAUUGUAUAAGAUUUCGAUAUAAAGUACUAACAAACAUAAAAGAUAAAAAAACGGCGAUGGUGCUAUAAAAAAAAAAAGAACCCUCUCUUCCUCUCCCUUCCCUCCCCCCGUCCCUUCCCCGCUUUGCGCAUUAAUACGAUCUACAAGCCGGCGGAAAAAUAAAAAAUGGAAUGUAUUUUCGAAACUCUUUCUUUUAAUAAUCAUGUAACAAUACUCGUUAUAUUCACGAUUAACAUACAUUACUUAUCUAUGUUGCAAAUAUUACAUAAAAAAGAUAUCCGUUUUGCGUUUUUUUUCUAAAAUUAUAAAAACGACGGUAGCAAAAGUUUCGGAACCUGACGGGCGGUGAACGUCGUCGUGUAACGACGUUAUAUUAUUACUUUUAACGCUAAAAACGAUAGGUAAAAAAAAAGAACGACGGCGAUAUAUAUAUAUACACAUAUAUAUAUGUAUAUAAUAUAUAUAUAUAUAAGUGUAACUAAAGUUUUCUUCCUAAGUCACUCUGCGGUUUUUUUUUCUCGUCGGGAGGUAAAGAUAUUUCUCAUCAAUCAUAUAACACGAUCUCGAGUCGUUCGACCGCGAAAACGGCCAAAGUUUCGUCGAGCAAAAGGAAGGAACGCACGCAUCAUCAUCAUGUCAUUGUGCAAUUCUUAUCACGACUGCACUAUCAGAGAGGACGAGAAUGCAACACGACGCGAGGAAGAAAGAGGGAGAGAGCUCCCUCUCUUUCGCUCGAGGUAUUUCUCUUGAUGGGCGGAAGGGGCGGGGGAGAAACGUUACAUUAUGCGUCUCAUUAAUCUUUAAUUAGAUAAUUAAUUCACUAUUUACGAAAAGUCAUAAUAAAAAGUAGUACUCUAUAUAUAUUCGGUAUUUCAAUAAUAAUAUUGUAAUAAUAAUUAUUAUAUUCCAAUAGCUUUGUCUGUAGUUUUAUCGUCUAUAAAUCGGAUAAUUAAUUAAUUAAUUAAUUCAUAAUGUUAUCAUCGACGCGCGCACUUUGCGCGUGUAUGUAUACAGACCGCGGCCCAUAAUCUUCUCUCGAAUAUGUUCGAUAAAUAUAAAAAAGAAAAAAAAUCGUAAUACAUGUGUUUAUGCUACACAUAUAUAUAUAUAUAUAUAAUCAUUCACCUCUUUCUUUCGCUCGCUCGCUCUCUCGCUUACAAUAGUAAAUCUCGCUGCGAAUGCUUCGCGUACCAACGCGCACUCUUUUUCCCCCUCUCGCUCUUUUCGCAUUUCAGUAUAUUCAAGCAGCCAUUCGAGAGAGGAAGAGAGAAUCUCUACAAUGCCGUCUGGUUGCAAGCACCAUUGGUUGGUAUUGUCGAUGAUCGACCGCGUGUCGCAAAAGGACGACUUUCGCAAUGUCUCUUCUUGUCCGCCCUUGCUCGCUUCCGGAAAGAGUAAGGACGGUCAACAAUGUAUCGGCUACGAACGUCGUCCCCGAGAAGAAAAGCUUUACUCGUUCGAUUUCUUCCUCUUCCUUGUUUUCUUUUUUUUUUCUUUUUAUUGCGAGGCGAUUGGUUAUAGGAUUUAUUUUUUGACAACAAUCGAUCUGUACGCGUUGGUGUGUGCGGCAUUCAAACAUCCAUAUUCUCUCUUAAAGGUUUAAUUACCACAAAGGUAUACACACCAUUUUCAGAUUUACAACAUUGCCCUAAAAA